rnacentral:rRNA from 1 species
AAAUUGAAGAGUUUGAUCAUGGCUCAGAUUGAACGCUGGCGGCAGGCCUAACACAUGCAAGUCGAACGGUAACAGGAAACAGCUUGCUGUUUCGCUGACGAGUGGCGGACGGGUGAGUAAUGUCUGGGAAACUGCCUGAUGGAGGGGGAUAACUACUGGAAACGGUAGCUAAUACCGCAUAACGUCGCAAGACCAAAGAGGGGGACCUUAGGGCCUCUUGCCAUCGGAUGUGCCCAGAUGGGAUUAGCUAGUAGGUGGGGUAAAGGCUCACCUAGGCGACGAUCCCUAGCUGGUCUGAGAGGAUGACCAGCCACACUGGAACUGAGACACGGUCCAGACUCCUACGGGAGGCAGCAGUGGGGAAU